rnacentral:rRNA from 1 species
AUUGAACGCUGGCGGCAUGCUUUACACAUGCAAGUCGGACGGCAGCACAGAGAGGCUUUCUUCUUGGGUGGCGAGUGGCGCACGGGUGAGUAACAUAUCGGAACGUACCGAUCUGUGGGGGAUAACUAAUCGAAAGAUUAGCUAAUACCGCAUAUUUUCUGAGGAAGAAAGCAGGGGACCUUUUGGCCUUGCGCUGUUUGAGCUGCCGAUAUCUGAUUAGCUAGUUGGUGGGGUAAAGGGCUACCAAGGCGACGAUCAGUAGCGGGUCUGAGAGGAUGAUCAGCCACACUGGGACUGAGACACGGCCCAGACUCCGACGGGAGGCAGCAGUGGGGAAUUUUGGACAAUGGGCGCAAGCCUGAUCCAGCCAUGCCGCGUGUCUGAAGAAGGCCUUCGGGUUGUAAAGGACUUUUGUUAGGAAAGAAAAGGGCGGGGUUAAUACCCCUGUGUGAUGACGGUACCUAAAGAAUAAGCACCGGCUAACUACGUG